AACUCAACAAGAGCAAAAGUGGAUCAAUUACCAAAUGAUGUAGAGAUAUGCCAAGGUAUUUGACAUAUCACCCCAACAACAACAAUGGCUGACAAAUCACUU